rnacentral:rRNA from 1 species
GGGUUGUGAGGUUAAGCGACUAAGCGUACACGGUGGAUGCCCUGGCAGUCAGAGGCGAUGAAGGACGUGCUAAUCUGCGAUAAGCGUCGGUAAGGUGAUAUGAACCGUUAUAACCGGCGAUUUCCGAAUGGGGAAACCCAGUGUGUUUCGACACACUAUCAUUAACUGAAUCCAUAGGUUAAUGAGGCGAACCGGGGGAACUGAAACAUCUAAGUACCCCGAGGAAAAGAAAUCAACCGAGAUUCCCCCAGUAGCGGCGAGCGAACGGGGAGCAGCCCAGAGCCUGAAUCAGUGUGUGUGUUAGUGGAAGCGUCUGGAAAGGCGUGCGAUACAGGGUGACAGCCCCGUACACAAAAAUGCACAUAUUGUGAGCUCGAUGAGUAGGGCGGGACACGUGGUAUCCUGUCUGAAUAUGGGGGGACCAUCCUCCAAGGCUAAAUACUCCUGACUGACCGAUAGUGAACCAGUACCGUGAGGGAAAGGCGAAAAGAACCCCGGCGAGGGGAGUGAAAAAGAACCUGAAACCGUGUACGUACAAGCAGUGGGAGCCUCUUUUAUGGGGUGACUGCGUACCUUUUGUAUAAUGGGUCAGCGACUUAUAUUCUGUAGCAAGGUUAACCGAAUAGGGGAGCCGAAGGGAAACCGAGUCUUAACUGGGCGUUAAGUUGCAGGGUAUAGACCCGAAACCCGGUGAUCUAGCCAUGGGCAGGUUGAAGGUUGGGUAACACUAACUGGAGGACCGAACCGACUAAUGUUGAAAAAUUAGCGGAUGACUUGUGGCUGGGGGUGAAAGGCCAAUCAAACCGGGAGAUAGCUGGUUCUCCCCGAAAGCUAUUUAGGUAGCGCCUCGUGAAUUCAUCUCCGGGGGUAGAGCACUGUUUCGGCAAGGGGGUCAUCCCGACUUACCAACCCGAUGCAAACUGCGAAUACCGGAGAAUGUUAUCACGGGAGACACACGGCGGGUGCUAACGUCCGUCGUGAAGAGGGAAACAACCCAGACCGCCAGCUAAGGUCCCAAAGUCAUGGUUAAGUGGGAAACGAUGUGGGAAGGCCCAGACAGCCAGGAUGUUGGCUUAGAAGCAGCCAUCAUUUAAAGAAAGCGUAAUAGCUCACUGGUCGAGUCGGCCUGCGCGGAAGAUGUAACGGGGCUAAACCAUGCACCGAAGCUGCGGCAGCGACGCUUAUGCGUUGUUGGGUAGGGGAGCGUUCUGUAAGCCUGUGAAGGUGUGCUGUGAGGCAUGCUGGAGGUAUCAGAAGUGCGAAUGCUGACAUAAGUAACGAUAAAGCGGGUGAAAAGCCCGCUCGCCGGAAGACCAAGGGUUCCUGUCCAACGUUAAUCGGGGCAGGGUGAGUCGACCCCUAAGGCGAGGCCGAAAGGCGUAGUCGAUGGGAAACAGGUUAAUAUUCCUGUACUUGGUGUUACUGCGAAGGGGGGACGGAGAAGGCUAUGUUGGCCGGGCGACGGUUGUCCCGGUUUAAGCGUGUAGGCUGGUUUUCCAGGCAAAUCCGGAAAAUCAAGGCUGAGGCGUGAUGACGAGGCACUACGGUGCUGAAGCAACAAAUGCCCUGCUUCCAGGAAAAGCCUCUAAGCAUCAGGUAACAUCAAAUCGUACCCCAAACCGACACAGGUGGUCAGGUAGAGAAUACCAAGGCGCUUGAGAGAACUCGGGUGAAGGAACUAGGCAAAAUGGUGCCGUAACUUCGGGAGAAGGCACGCUGAUAUGUAGGUGAAGUCCCUUGCGGAUGGAGCUGAAAUCAGUCGAAGAUACCAGCUGGCUGCAACUGUUUAUUAAAAACACAGCACUGUGCAAACACGAAAGUGGACGUAUACGGUGUGACGCCUGCCCGGUGCCGGAAGGUUAAUUGAUGGGGUCAGCGCAAGCGAAGCUCUUGAUCGAAGCCCCGGUAAACGGCGGCCGUAACUAUAACGGUCCUAAGGUAGCGAAAUUCCUUGUCGGGUAAGUUCCGACCUGCACGAAUGGCGUAAUGAUGGCCAGGCUGUCUCCACCCGAGACUCAGUGAAAUUGAACUCGCUGUGAAGAUGCAGUGUACCCGCGGCAAGACGGAAAGACCCCGUGAACCUUUACUAUAGCUUGACACUGAACAUUGAGCCUUGAUGUGUAGGAUAGGUGGGAGGCUUUGAAGUGUGGACGCCAGUCUGCAUGGAGCCGACCUUGAAAUACCACCCUUUAAUGUUUGAUGUUCUAACGUGGACCCGUAAUCCGGGUUGCGGACAGUGUCUGGUGGGUAGUUUGACUGGGGCGGUCUCCUCCUAAAGAGUAACGGAGGAGCACGAAGGUUGGCUAAUCCUGGUCGGACAUCAGGAGGUUAGUGCAAUGGCAUAAGCCAGCUUGACUGCGAGCGUGACGGCGCGAGCAGGUGCGAAAGCAGGUCAUAGUGAUCCGGUGGUUCUGAAUGGAAGGGCCAUCGCUCAACGGAUAAAAGGUACUCCGGGGAUAACAGGCUGAUACCGCCCAAGAGUUCAUAUCGACGGCGGUGUUUGGCACCUCGAUGUCGGCUCAUCACAUCCUGGGGCUGAAGUAGGUCCCAAGGGUAUGGCUGUUCGCCAUUUAAAGUGGUACGCGAGCUGGGUUUAGAACGUCGUGAGACAGUUCGGUCCCUAUCUGCCGUGGGCGCUGGAGAACUGAGGGGGGCUGCUCCUAGUACGAGAGGACCGGAGUGGACGCAUCACUGGUGUUCGGGUUGUCAUGCCAAUGGCACUGCCCGGUAGCUAAAUGCGGAAGAGAUAAGUGCUGAAAGCAUCUAAGCACGAAACUUGCCCCGAGAUGAGUUCUCCCUGACUCCUUGAGAGUCCUGAAGGAACGUUGAAGACGACGACGUUGAUAGGCCGGGUGUGUAAGCGCAGCGAUGCGUUGAGCUAACCGGUACUAAUGAACCGUGAGGCUUAACCUUACAACGCCGAAG